rnacentral:rRNA from 1 species
GACCAACGCUGGCGGCGUGCCUAAUACAUGCAAGUCGAACGCAGUGGGGACGGGUGAGUAAAACGUGGGUAACCUCCCAACAGAGGGGAUAACACUUGGAAACAGGUGCUAAACCGAUACUGAUGGAUGGACCCGCGGUGCAUUAGCUAGUUGGUGAGGUAACGGCUCACCAAGGCCACGAUGCAUAGCCGCCCUGGGAGGGUGAUCGGACACACGUGGACUGAGACACGGCCCAGAAUCCUACGUGGGGCAGCAGUAGGGAAUCUGCGGCAAUGGACGAAAGUCUGACCGAGCAACGACGCGUGAGUGAUGAAGGUCUUCGGAUCGUAAAACUCUGUUAUGAGGGAAGCGGUACCUAAUCAGAAAGCCACGGCUAACUACGGGCCAGGGGCCGCGGUAAUAC